CGAUUGAGUUUGAUCCUGGCUCAGGAUGAACGCUGGCGGCGUGCUUAACACAUGCAAGUCGAACGGGGAUGCCAUUUUCGAGGUGAUUAGUUUACUAAGAGCCAAGAUGUUGGCAUCUUAGUGGCGGACGGGUGAGUAACGCGUGGGUAACCUGCCUUAUACAGGGGGAUAACACUUAGAAAUAGGUGCUAAUACCGCAUAAGCGCACGGGGCUGCAUGGCCCAGUGUGAAAAACUCCGGUGGUAUAAGAUGGACCCGCGUCUGAUUAGCUUGUUGGCGGGGUAACGGCCCACCAAGGCGACGAUCAGUAGCCGGCCUGAGAGGGUGGACGGCCACAUUGGGACUGAGACACGGCCCAAACUCCUACGGGAGGCAGCAGUGGGGAAUAUUGGACAAUGGGGGGAACCCUGAUCCAGCGACGCCGCGUGAGUGAAGAAGUAUUUCGGUAUGUAAAGCUCUAUCAGCAGGGAAGAAAUUGACGGUACCUGAGUAAGAAGCUCCGGCUAAAUACGUGCCAGCAGCCGCGGUAAUACGUAUGGAGCAAGCGUUAUCCGGAUUUACUGGGUGUAAAGGGAGCGUANGCGGCCUGCCAAGUCUGAU
rnacentral:rRNA from 1 species